GAUGAACGCUGGCGGCGUGCCUAAUACAUGCAAGUCGAGCGAACAGACGAGGAGCUUGCUCCUCUGACGUUAGCGGCGGACGGGUGAGUAACACGUGGAUAACCUACCUAUAAGACUGGGAUAACUUCGGGAAACCGGAGCUAAUACCGGAUAACAUGUUGAACCGCAUGGUUCAACAGUGAAAGACGGUUUUGCUGUCACUUAUAGAUGGAUCCGCGCCGCAUUAGCUAGUUGGUAAGUUAACGGCUUACCAAGGCAACGAUGCGUAGCCGACCUGAGAGGGUGAUCGGCCACACUGGAACUGAGACACGGUCCAGACUCCUACGGGAGGCAGCAGUAGGGAAUCUUCCGCAAUGGGCGAAAGCCUGACGGAGCAACGCCGCGUGAGUGAAGAAGGUCUUCGGAUCGUAAAACUCUGUUAUUAGGGAAGAACAAAUGUGUAAGUAACUAUGCACGUCUUGACGGUACCUAAUCAGAAAGCCACGGCUAACUACGUG
rnacentral:rRNA from 1 species